rnacentral:lncRNA from 1 species
GGGAUAUGCAUUGGGUAGCUGGGAAAAAAGGGGAUUUUUUGGUCAAGGAUUCUCACCAAGCAAUGAAUAGCACUUGAAGAUUGCAUAGUAGUUGUGGAAAGUUAAUUUUCAGUUCAAAGUUGUUUUUUUGUUUUGCUUUGUUUUAUAAGGAAAAAUAUGACAUAACAGAGAUAUCUCAGUGAUUUAUUUGUGCAGUCAAAAAUGCUUUGAUUUUGGAAAGCAAAUGCCAAAUACAAGGUGGAAUUCACGGCAAUCCCACAAUUACCAGCCAUCCCCCAGAUGAAGUAUGCCUGUGUGAAACAUUCAUUAACUUUUCUGUAAUCGUGAUCUGAUUGGAAGCGGGUCAGGCAAACAAGAAGGACUAAUUUUGGGCAAAGAAAUAAUUUUCUGUGAGUAAUUAGGAUAUGUACUCAUGGGUAAAGCAUUUUGCUGCUGUACAAACAUAUUCAUAACUGCUAUUAAUGGAAUAAAGAAAUAUUUUGACAGGCAGCAGUCAAGAUGAGCUUUUUCAAGCCACAGAAUUUUCUGUAGAGGAAUAUGAAUAUGUCAGGACCAUCUAUACAUCCAUUCAGAAAAGAUAGCUGGUGUUUUAGCCAGCUGAAAUGAUGUCCACGGGGCUGUAGUCUCUCCCACAUACCUUUGUGAUAUCAGCAGGACCCCAGUGCUCAAAGGCUGCUCCGCCUGUCCCCCAGGAGCUCAGGGGAGGGACAAAGGGGGUGGGAAGCUGGGGGGCUUUGGUAAUGCUCCUUUCUCUUCCUGGCUUCUUGAGCUACUGAGCUACUUUUUAAUUUUAAUUAUUUUAUUUUAUUUUAUUUUAUUUUAUUUUAUUUUAUUUUAUUUUAUUUUAUUUAUUUUAUUUUAUUUUUUAGUGUAAGCUCAUUUUUUCCUCCACAGGGAGAAUAUUUCUUCUGAACGCCCUGACUCUAACUCCUGAGCACAGAGAGAUGACUCCUGGAGAAGUGCUGCUGAAAAAGAAAAAGGGAGAAAAUGAGGUGUCUGCACAACUGUAUCUUACCAAAAGCAAAGACCUCGCAUGCUGUACUCCUGCUAGCACGGGUGCUAGAAACAUUUUGCCUAAAUCACUGAGAAUUGCUAAAAUGCUUCUCUGACCUAAAAUUUCUGUCUCUACUGGAACAAGGAGACCGUUGCUGGAGGUGGGCUGCAUGCUGCAAGGCAGUGCAAGAAGGGUGGGCACAGGAGUAAGUGACGGCAAAUUUAUGAGGUCCCACCUUAUAAAUUUAUGUGAAAAGCAAUAAAAGUGGUUUUCAGGGUGUAUUUGUAUGUAUA